AGCUGCGUGGUGAAUACAGAGCGAAUUAUUCUUUCGCCUUUUACUAAAGAACACCGUGUGUUCGUCACUUAAAGCAGCAUACGCUUAUUUUUGGAGGGGUUUCUUGAAAAAGAGCCC